AACGUAGAAGGCAAGCGUUAUCCGGAGUUACUGGGCGUAAAGGGUGCGCAGGCGGUCUCGUAAGCUGGGUGUGAAAGCCCCGGGCUUAACCUGGGAAUGGCAUUCAGGACUGCGAGGCUUUGAGUGCGGCAGAGGGAGGUGGAAUUCCACGUGUAGCAGUGAAAUGCGUAGAGAUGUGGAGGAACACCGAUGGCGAAGGCAGCCUCCUGGGCCAGCACUGACGCUCAUGCACGAAAGCGUGGGGAGCAAACAGG
rnacentral:rRNA from 1 species